rnacentral:rRNA from 1 species
CGAGUGGCGGACGGGUGAGUAAUGUCUGGGAAACUGCCUGAUGGAGGGGGAUAACUACUGGAAACGGUAGCUAAUACCGCAUAACGUCGCAAGACCAAAGAGGGGGACCUUCGGGCCUCUUGCCAUCGGAUGUGCCCAGAUGGGAUUAGCUAGUAGGUGGGGUAACGGCUCACCUAGGCGACGAUCCCUAGCUGGUCUGAGAGGAUGACCAGCCACACUGGAACUGAGACACGGUCCAGACUCCUACGGGAGGCAGCAGUGGGGAAUAUUGCACAAUGGGCGCAAGCCUGAUGCAGCCAUGCCGCGUGUAUGAAGAAGGCCUUCGGGUUGUAAAGUACUUUCAGCGGGGAGGAAGGGAGUAAAGUUAAUACCUUUGCUCAUUGACGUUACCCGCAGAAGAAGCACCGGCUAACUCCGUGCCAGCAGCCGCGGUAAUACGGAGGGUGCAAGC